rnacentral:rRNA from 1 species
CCUAACACAUGCAAGUCGAACGGUAACAUUUCUAGCUUGCUAGAAGAUGACGAGUGGCGGACGGGUGAGUAAUGCUUGGGAACUUGCCUUUGCGAGGGGGAUAACAGUUGGAAACGACUGCUAAUACCGCAUAAUGUCUACGGACCAAACGGGGCUCCGGCUCCGGCGCAAAGAGAGGCCCAAGUGAGAUUAGCUAGUUGGUAAGGUAACGGCUUACCAAGGCGACGAUCUCUAGCUGUUCUGAGAGGAAGAUCAGCCACACUGGGACUGAGACACGGCCCAGACUCCUACGGGAGGCAGCAGUGGGGAAUAUUGCACAAUGGGGGGAACCCUGAUGCAGCCAUGCCGCGUGUGUGAAGAAGGCCUUCGGGUUGUAAAGCACUUUCAGUUGUGAGGAAAAGUUAGUAGUUAAUACCUGCUAGCCGUGACGUUAACAACAGAAGAAGCACCGGCUAACUCCGUGCCAGCAGCCGCGGUAAUACGGAGGGUGCGAGCGUUAAUCGGAAUUACUGGGCGUAAAGCGCACGCAGGCGGUUUGUUAAGCUAGAUGUGAAAGCCCCGGGCUCAACCUGGGAUGGUCAUUUAGAACUGGCAGACUAGAGUCUUGGAGAGGGGA